CCUACGGGAGGCAGCAGUGAGGAAUAUUGGUCAAUGGGCGAGAGCCUGAACCAGCCAAGUCGCGUGAAGGAUGACGGCCCUACGGGUUGUAAACUUCUUUUGUCAGGGAGCAAUUGGGUCCACGCGUGGGCUUAGCGAGAGUACCUGAAGAAAAAGCAUCGGCUAACUCCGUGCCAGCAGCCGCGGUAAUACGGGGGAUGCGAGCGUUAUCCGGAUUUAUUGGGUUUAAAGGGUGCGUAGGCGGAAUAUCAAGUCAGCGGUAAAAAUUCGGGGCUCAACCCCGUCGUGCCGUUGAAACUGAUGGUCUUGAGUGGGCGAGAAGUAUGCGGAAUGCGUGGUGUAGCGGUGAAAUGCAUAGAUAUCACGCAGAACUCCGAUUGCGAAGGCAGCAUACCGGCGCCCAACUGACGCUGAAGCACGAAAGCGUGGGUAUCGAACAGGAUUAGAUACCCUGGUAGUC
rnacentral:rRNA from 1 species